rnacentral:misc_RNA from 1 species
AACGAGGCCGACCUGCGGCUGAGUUACCUGCGGAGGGAUCAUUACAAGUGACCCCGGUCUAACCACCGGGAUGUUCAUAACCCUUUGUUGUCCGACUCUGUUGCCUCCGGGGCGACCCUGCCUUCGGGCGGGGGCUCCGGGUGGACACUUCAAACUCUUGCGUAACUUUGCAGUCUGAGUAAACUUAAUUAAUAAAUUAAAACUUUCAACAACGGAUCU